rnacentral:rRNA from 1 species
CGUUCCCGGGCCUUGUACACACCGCCCGUCACACCAUGGGAGUUGGUUUUACCUUAAGACGGUGUGCUAACCCGCAAGGGGGGCAGCCGGCCACGGUAAGGUCAGCGACUGGGGUG